rnacentral:rRNA from 1 species
UGCCAGCCGCCGCGGUAAUACGGAGGGUGCAAGCGUUGUUCGGAAUUAUUGGGCGUAAAGCGUGUGUAGGGCGGUUCGUUAAGUCUGAUGUGAAAGCCCGGGGCUCAACCCCGGAAGUGCAUUGGAAACUGGCGAACUUGAGUACGGGAGAGGAAAGUGGAAUUCCGAGUGUAGGGGUGAAAUGCGUUGAUAUCAGGAGGAACACCGGCGGCGAAGGCGACAGUCUGGCCUGCUUCUGACGCUGAGGUGCGAAAGCCAGGGGAGCAAACGGGAUUAGAUA